CAGAAAUCUGUUAAGAAAUCUUACUUAAAAUGCUGCCCAGGCUACGAGUGUGCAGAAUGUAAGUAUAUAAAAAAACUCAAUACUUAACUGGAAUGAGAGUACAGUCAAUUGCUUGAAUCCAACCUCGUCCCCAGGAUCUUCCUCGUUAUGGCCUGAAUCAGGAUAAGUAAAGUCAGUUAGUAAAGUCAGAUAUCGUAAGUUACGAGUUUCAGUCUCCCGCGCGUACUAAGCGUAUAACAUCAUCGAGUCAAAUUGAACUGAAUUGUUUUCCACUUCAAAUUGUCUUGCAACAUCCGCAAGAUCUCGAUCAAAAUCCCAAAGUCGUCUAGUUACAAUCCUAAAAUCGUGCCAAAAUAUCAAUUUAAAUUCCCUGUUUAAGGGCAUUUUUGCAAGGAUUUUGAAAUCCCAAGAAUCCUAGCACGCUUGUUUCAGAGUAAUAAUACAUCCCUCGUUUAAUCGUUUUCUAAUAAUAUGUAUCAUUAAUUUUCAACCCUGCGCUGUAUGCAUUUCAGUACGAUAAGAUUGAAUUGAAAAACAGAGACUUAAGUUAAGGAAGAUACUAGCCUGCGAACAGGCUCUCUUUGAUCAAAGAACCUGUUCGCAGGCUAGGAAGAUACGGCAUGUCUUUACAAAUACAUGCUCUAUUUUGCUUUAUACGCAAGUAUUUUCUCAAUGCUGUUCAUUUUAUAGAUUGUAGACCAGAGGCCCUUUAUUGUUCCACAAAAGACGAGUCUGCGUGUACAUCAGAUCCCAAAUUUGUCAAAGAUUGCCCAAGGAAAUGUGGCAAAUGCCGUGAGUAGUUAAUUACAUUAUUUAAGGAUAUAGGGCAUGUGAACCACAGCUGCACCCCAGUUACCCGAGGGACAUGUCCUCUUGGACAGCAGGCUGCCUUUUUCCAAGAACUACACUUCGAAAGUUGUAUGUUAUUCACAUGAAUUGAAAUUGAGAAGUGUUUUCAAGCUAGAACUUAACUCAAAUUCCUCUCAGAAACGUUACGAAGACUUUACCAAAAAGUAAAAAGAAGGCCUUUCUAAAUAAUUGACAAAUUGUCAUGUUGUUUUGCAAUGAAUUUUAGACUCUUUAGCGUCAUGCAAUAAAUAAAAUUGUUCCAAUCAAUGCCGAAAUUUCUAUUGGCUAUAAGUAAUUGAGAAUUUUAACGAACAUUGCCGCCCACAAACGUUUGGGCUCAGUAAUAAGUAGUGCCCUUUUUAAAUGGCUGUCGCGCCGCUUCACGUUGUGUCCCCCAGAGUAUGCCCGUUCGCAGGUUUGCCCAGCACCUAACCUGCGAACGGCCAUAUUCUGGGAACGAGAUUGGCGCCCAAUACUUUAUUAAUACUUUAUUUAAGUACUUUUCUUUGUUUUUUAGCCCACAAGUGUGUCAAAAAGAAUUGGGGAGUCACCGUAUAGAAUCUUGUUCAGCACACGAGUAUACAUUGAUAUCAAAAGUCGAACAUGUGCAAAACUUAAAUUUCAAUUUAUUGACUUGGAUGUAGCAUUUUAUUGUCAUUAUGAAGUAAUAAUAUUAAACAUUUUAUUGUGUGGUUUCCAAAAGGGCUUUUUUCAACACUCACUUACAAUAAUGUUACAAGGUUUUAAAUUCUGCAUGUUAUGAUAUGGCCUACAUUGUAAAAGUUUUAUAUUCUGAG